AGUAAAAGUCGUAACAAGGUUUCCGUAGGUGAACCUGCGGAAGGAUCAUUAAAGAGUAAGGGUGCUCAGCGCCCGACCUCCAACCCUUUGUUGUUAAAACUACCUUGUUGCUUUGGCGGGACCGCUCGGUUCCGAGCCGCUGGGGAUUCGUCCCAGGCGAGUGCCCGCCAGAGUUAAACCAAACUCUUGUUAUUAAACCGGUCGUCUGAGUUAAAAUUUUGAAUAAAUCAAAACUUUCAACAACGGAUCUCUUGGUUCUCGCAUCGAUGAAGAACGCAGCGAAAUGCGAUAAGUAAUGUGAAUUGCAGAAUUCAGUGAAUCAUCGAAUCUUUGAACGCACAUUGCGCCCCUUGGUAUUCCGAGGGGCAUGCCUGUUCGAGCGUCAUUACACCACUCAAGCUAUGCUUGGUAUUGGGUGUCGUCCUUAGUUGGGCGCGCCUUAAAGACCUCGGCGAGGCCUCCCCGGCUUUAGGCGUAGUAGAAUUUAUUCGAACGUCUGUCAAAGGAGAGGAACUCUGCCGACCGAAACCUUUAUUUUUACAGGUUGACCUCGGAUCAGGUAGGGAUACCCGCUGAACUUAAGCAUAUCAAUAAGCGGAGGAAAAGAAACCAACAGGGAUUGCCUUAACG
rnacentral:rRNA from 1 species